GGCAAGUUGCAUUGAUGAUAUGUGAAAUACUUCAGGUUAUGUUUUCUCCUUGGGUUCAGGAGUAUUCUCAUGGUGUUCAAAGAAGCAACAAUCUGUUGCUCAAUCCUCAGUGGAAGUAGAAUAUGUGGCAGCUGGUCUAGCAACACAACAAGCCAUAUGCUUAAAAAGAAUUUUAAAAAUAUUGGCGAGAAGCAUAAUAUAAGCAUUUGUGAUUCAUUGUAACAAUCAAUCAGCAAUAGUAAUAGGGAAGAAUCCAAUUUACCACAGC
rnacentral:lncRNA from 1 species